rnacentral:rRNA from 1 species
UUGCUAAGGCCGAUGGCGACCGGCGCACGGGUGAGUAACACGUAUCCAACCUGCCGUCUACUCUUGGACAGCCUUCUGAAAGGAAGAUUAAUACAAGAUGGCAUCAUGAGUCCGCAUGUUCACAUGACUAAAGGUAUUCCGGUAGACGAUGGGGAUGCGUUCCAUUAGAUAGUAGGCGGGGUAACGGCCCACCUAGUCUUCGAUGGAUAGGGGUUCUGAGAGGAAGGUCCCCCACAUUGGAACUGAGACACGGUCCAAACUCCUACGGGAGGCAGCAGUGAGGAAUAUUGGUCAAUGGGCGAGAGCCUGAACCAGCCAAGUAGCGUGAAGGAUGACUGCCCUAUGGGUUGUAAACUUCUUUUAUAAAGGAAUAAAGUCGGGUAUGGAUACCCGUUUGCAUGUACUUUAUGAAUAAGGAUCGGCUAACUCCGUGCCAGCAGCCGCGGUAAUACGGAGGAUCCGAGCGUUAUCCGGAUUUAUUGGGUUUAAAGGGAGCGUAGAUGGAUGGUUAAGUCAGUUGUGAAAGUUUGCGGCUCAACCGUAAAAUUGCAGUUGAUACUGGAUAUCUUGAGUGCAGUUGAGGCAGGCGGAAUUCGUGGUGUAGCGGUGAAAUGCUUAGAUAUCACGAAGAACUCCGAUUGCGAAGGCAGC